UACGAAGGGGGCUAGCGUUGUUCGGAAUUACUGGGCGUAAAGCGCACGUAGGCGGACUACUAAGUCAGGGGUGAAAUCCCGGGGCUCAACCCCGGAACUGCCUUUGAUACUGAGAGUCUCGAGUCCGGAAGAGGUGAGUGGAAUUCCGAGUGUAGAGGUGAAAUUCGUAGAUAUUCGGAGGAACACCAGUGGCGAAGGCGGCUCACUGGUCCGGUACUGACGCUGAGGUGCGAAAGCGUGGGGAGUAAACAGG
rnacentral:rRNA from 1 species